CUGUGUGGAACAGCCCAGGCUCCUCAGAUUGAAACUUCUCUUUCUUCAUCAUUCAGUUAUCUAGCUGGUGUGAAGCCCCUGAUGCUAACCAGCAGUUACAGCAGCCCACAGACGAACGGGCACAGCUGGAAGCACACCUGGGGCAGGUGAGGCUUUGCAGAGGGAGGGAUGUGGAAGGAAGGUGACCCCAGGGGGCCAGAAGCAUGUGAGGACCAGACAGCCCUUCCUAACUUCUGUGCCCAUUCUUGCAGGUGAUGGAGUGGCUGAAGUAUCUGCAAAUGGAGAGAGAGCAGUAUGCCGAGUAUCUGCAUGGAGAGAGUGCCAUGUGGUGGCAGAGGAUGCGGGAGAUGUCAGAGCAGGUGCACACGUUGAGGGAGGAGAGAGUGCACAGCAUGAGUCGAGUACAGGAGCUGGAGACGAUCUUGGCUGAACUAAGGAACCAGGUGGGUAAGCUGGGGCUGGGGUGACCUGGGAGCAGGACUGGCAUCAGAGGGCUGUGGGGAUGGCUUAGAAUGCCAGAGAGGUGGAUGCAUGGAAAGGCUUUGAGGCAGAGGGAAAGAGGUCUGUGCCAGGAGACGGCAAGUCUUGUCAUCUCCACGAGCCUCAAUGUCCCCAUCAGCAAAGAGGAAAAAGUGCCUGUUGUCAGCCACCCACAGUUGUCUGUACCUGAAAGUGGCUUGGAAGAUUGGCUACCAUCAGGGCGCGAGGAGUUAUUAGCAGGGAGGCCAAGUCUGGGGAACCUGAGAGGAGCUAUGCACCAAGAGGAGGGUUUUUUUUGAGAAUCCAGAGGCCCUUAUUGUCGGCUUCCUUUCUCAGCUGAACCCCUGCCCCCGGAGCCUCCAGCAGGGCCCUCCGAAGUGGAGCAGAAGCUACAAGCAGAGGCUGAGCACCUGUGGAAGGAGCUGGAGAAUCUGGCAGGACAGCUUCAAGCCCAAGUGGAAGAAAAUGAGGGCUUGAGUCACCUGAACCAAGAGCAGGAAGAGGUUGCUCAGGUUGUUGGAGCAAGAGGAGAAGUUGCUGGAGCAAGAGGAGAGGUUGCUGGAGCAAGAGGAGAGGUUGCUGGAGCAAGAGGAGAGGCUACUGGAGCUGCAGGAGAGCCUGCUAGAGCAGAAGCGGAAGGCCGCUUCCUUUCUCAGCUGAA
rnacentral:lncRNA from 1 species